rnacentral:ncRNA from 1 species
CUGGUUUAUCCUGCCAGUAGUCAUAUGCUUGUAUCAAAGAUUAAGCCAUGCAUGUGUAAGUAUGAACAAAUUCAGACUGUGAAACUGCGAAUGGCUCAUUAAAUCAGUUAUACUUUGUUUGAUGGUAUCUGCUACUCAGAUAACCGUAGUAAUUCAAGAGCUAAUACGUGCAACAAACCCCAAAUUCUGGAAGGGAUGCAUUUAUUAGAUAAAAGGUCGACGCGGGCUCUGCCAGUUGCUGUGAUGAUUCAUGAUAACUCGACGGAUCGCACGGCCAUCGUGCUGGCGACACAUCAUUCAAAUUUCUGCCCUAUGAACUUUUGAUGGUAGGAUAGUGGCCUACCAUGAUUGGUGACGGGUGACGGAGAAUUAGGGUUCGAUUUCAGAGAGGGAGCCUGUGAAACGGCUACCACAUCCAAGGAAGGCAGCAGGUGCGCAAAUUAACCAAUCCUGACACGGAGAGGUAGUGACAAUAAAUAACAAUACUGGGCUCCAUGAGUCUGGUAAUUGGAAUGAGUACAAUCUAAAUCCAUUAACGAGGAUCCAUUGGAGGGCAAGUAUGGUGCAAGCAGUCGCGGUAAUUCCAGCUCCAAUAGCGUAUAUU